GGUCUCAGGGGACGAAACCAUGCUUGUUGCUGGUGACAGAGACAAAUCUAGAAAAUCUGAUGCCUUGUGAAGAUAAAGGGGAAGUGAAGACUCGGAGGAAAGAGAAAGCAUUUCCUGCCCCAGUUCCUGACCCAGGCACAGACUGUCAGUCUAGUGAUACCGCUGGACUUGGCUGGGCCGCAGAGAGCAGACAACUCCGCUGUGCACAGCGCAGAGCCAGCGUGGGACUUGUUUGCGCCCGUGCCCUGGAGCCCACCUGCGCAGUGAAACAGGAACUGAAGCUGGACAGAGAGUCUGGCUGACGCCGGGGAGAAACACAGCGACACAGAGCCUGUCGCCCUACAAUCAGCCGCCCAACGCUUCACUGCUUUCACAUGCGCAAAGCUACCAUGUGACUUAGGCCAGAGCCCUGGCUCUCGCAUCCUGGAAGUGUGUCCAACCCUUGGGCUGUACAGCGGCUUCCAUGC